CCAGCACCAGGUGGCAUAUUAACUGAAUGCUGAUGCACCUUGUAUUUCGAUUGCUUUGUAUGCUUAAAACAUGUGAAGAAUUGACAAUAAAUAAUAAUCUUUAUCAAGUGUUAUACAUUAAAAAAGUGGAUAAAUAACAAAAAUGUCACUCCUGACAGCUAAUAAAUUAAUGUUUUUUUAUAGCACCAUUGAGGUGAGCACUUUUCAAGGCAAGAUUCUUUAUAGAACCGUAUAAAAAGUUUCCAUAUAGUACCAAAAAACGGGUUCUGCUAUGGUUACAUGCUGAAGAACCCUUAUUUGGUACUUUUUAGGAGCAUUUGUCUUAAGAGUGUUGCGUAGGUUCGAAACUUUCAAACUUGAAACCAAGUUUUAUUUGUGGUGUGGACAUGAACACGCUGCAGGCAUUCAAAUGUAAUUUGUAAUUUAUUGUCUUAUUUCGUAUUUAACAAAUAGCUAUACAACUGGUGUUCCUCAAUUUUAGGGCCUAUUUUGUUUAGUAUAUCAGUUUUGUUCAGUUUUUUAUGUGCAUGCAAAAAGCAAUCAGCAAGCAAAUUAACUGAAGCUUUACCUUCAUGUUCUUUUUGUAUAACUGUUUCUGUAUGUAUUUUAUGUAUUUGUAUGUUUUUUUACACGUAUAGAGUGAAAUGCACACGGUGAGGAAUGGACCCAGACCUUCAGUGCCAGACCUCUGACCCGUUAACCUCCAUCCCGACAGCCAGCGCCUUCUCCGGCUCCCAUUGCGGUAUCGCUUCUCGGCUUUUUGGAUAAGAUCAAGUGGACACCGGGGACUACAAGUUUAAAUGGAUUUUUGACCUUCGGAAAUGGAAGCGAGGCUUGCUCCGUCCACUCCAUGCAUCGACUCGGACGCUUUCCGGGCAUAAAUAAGUUUACGGAGGUGAUACCAGGACGAAUUAAACAGCCUCGACACAGCUGAAGGCGCAACAAAAUCGAACGAGACAGUUUGGGAUGUUAAAAACACCUGAAAACUUUUUUUUUCACUGCCCUUCAUACUACAGCUGUCAAAAAACCACAGCAACGUCGACACGCCUGGAAGCAUAGCUGUAUUUGUUUAAGACAACGGGUCAAUUAUGACUGAAGAAGAGGUCACCAAAUGAAGACCACAGCCAGGUGACGGGAUUCUGUGGUAAUCACAAACAGAUUUAAAAGUGCCUACUGUUGAAACACAUCUGAUCUCAUCUGAAAGCUGAUUCAAGCUACAGGUU